AAAGUCGUAACAAGGUAACCGUAGGUGAACCUGCGGUUGGAUCAUUAUUGAAUGUAUCAACCAAAGGAAUUGGAUGUUCAAAUUUAUUUUGACUCCUUUUCCGCACACCCCUUGUGAACUUGUAUCAUUAUGUCUUUUGUGGAUGAUUCAGUGGGGCUUGGAGCUUCGGCUUAGGCACCCUGGCUCCACACUAGACGUUUAAACUCCUUAUUUUCCAUUUAGUCUAAGAACCUUUGAUAAAGUUUUUAAUUGAACUUGACAACUUUUGACAACGGAUCUCUUGGCUCUC
rnacentral:misc_RNA from 1 species